GCAUGCUUUCCGGCAGAAGGAUCGCAUGCUUUCCGGCAGAAGGAUCACCUGCUUGUGGUUGACUUGAUCACAGACUACCUACACAGAAUCCAACAGCAUGCAGGAGCAUACAUCUGGGUAGAUGUCCUCCUCAGGAAGAGGCCAAGAUAGCAGGAUACGAAGACGUACUACAUAAAUGUUGGUUGACUUUGAGAUUGCAAUGGUUCUUCCACUUAAAGCAAGG